rnacentral:rRNA from 1 species
GACGAACGCUGGCGGCGUGCCUUACACAUGCAAGUCGAACGGGAUCCAAGGAGUGCUUGCACUCCUGAAGAUCUAGUGGCGAACGGGUGAGUAACACGUGAGAAACCUGCCCCAGACUCUGGGAUAACUUCGGGAAACCGAUGCUAAUACCGGAUAUUCUCCUUUGGUCGCAUGGCCAGUUGAGGAAAGUUUUUCGGUCUGGGAGGGUCUCGCGACCUAUCAGCUAGUUGGUGAGGUAACGGCCCACCAAGGCUACGACGGGUAGCUGGUUUGAGAGAACGAUCAGCCACACUGGAACUGAGACACGGUCCAGACUCCUACGGGAGGCAGCAGUGGGGAAUCUUGCGCAAUGGGCGAAAGCCUGACGCAGCAACGCCGCGUGCGGGAUGAAGGCUCUCGGGUCGUAAACCGCUUUCAGCAGGGACGAAAAUGACGGUACCUGCAGAAGAAGCUCCGGCUAACUACGUGCCAGCAGCCGCGGUAAUGUCACA